GGGGUUGUGGCUCAGUGGUAGAGCGCUCACCUAGCAUGUGUGAGGCCCUGGGUUAAAUUCUCAGCACCA
rnacentral:tRNA from 1 species